rnacentral:rRNA from 1 species
AUUGAACGCUGGCGGCAGGCCUAACACAUGCAAGUCGAACGAGUGGCGGACGGGUGAGUAAUGUCUGGGAAACUGCCCGAUGGAGGGGGAUAACUACUGGAAACGGUAGCUAAUAUCGCAUACCAUCGGAUGUGCCCAGAUGGGGUUAGCUAGUAGGUGGGGUAACGGCUCACUCAGGCGACGAUCCCCAGCUGGUCUGAGAGGAUGACCAGCCACACGUGAACUGAGACACGGUCCAGACUCCUACGGGAGGCAGCAGUGGGGAAUAGUGCACAAUGGGCGCAAGCCUGAUGCAGCCAUGCCGCUUGUAUGAAGAAGGCCUUCGGGUUGUAAAGUACUUUCAGCGAGGAGGCGUUACUCGCAGAAGAAGCACCGGCUAACUCCGUGCCAGCCGCCGCGGUAAUAC